UACAUCAAAGAUUUUCAAAACUCAGAAUAAUCGAUUGUGAAGCUAAUGAUAAUCAAUUGUGAUGAGGCAGUGUCCAUCAAAGUUUAUCAACGCUCAAAAUAAUCGAUUGUGACGUUAAUGACAAUCGAUUGUGAAGAGACAGUGUCCAUCAGAUUUUUCAAAGUCACAAAAUAAUCGAUUGUGAACAUAUGACAAUCGAUUGUGUUGAGACAGNNNN
rnacentral:lncRNA from 1 species